UCUGCCUCCUCCGCCCCUCGUCGCCGCCUGCAGUCCCCCGCGGCCGCCGCCUUGGCCACCGCCGCCGACGAGCCUGAGCCAGUGAGCUCACUGCAGAAAACUGCAGUUCGGAGCCAACUUCGCGCGCGUUUUCCGGCCAACUCCGACCUCCGUUUCCGUCGAUUCCUUCGCCGUUGUUGUUUCCGCGAAACCUGUCGUAACGCUAUGCAACCACCCCGACGACCUCCACUACGGUCCACGAUAUACCCUAGAUUUAGAGGACGGACAACUACAUUUAGGAGUAGUACAUGAGCCAGAGGAUCCUCCGCAGGAGUGCUUCGCAGACUGAGCAGAAGAAACCGAAACUUAGUUAUUCCCUUUAGUUGUUCGAUGGGCUUAGCUUACUUUUAGUACUUUCUAUUUUUGCCUGAUCGAUGUAUUUUAUAUUUCUUCAGUAUUUCAUUCAGAUCGUUUUGUAUAAGGGCAUGUUUGGCCCGAA